AGGAUGAACGCUGGCGGCGUGCCUAACACAUGCAAGUCGAACGUCCUGUCUCGCAAGAGGCAGGGAGUGGCGGACGGGUGAGUACCACGUGGGUCAUCUACCGUGAGGUGAGGAAUACCGGCGAGAAAUCGCCGACAAGACCGCAUAGGCUCGAUGCAAGUCGAGCAAAGCUCUCUCGAGAGAGGGAGCGCCACACGAGGAGCCUGCGCCCGAUUAGCUAGCUGGUGGAGUAAUGGUUCACCAGGGCGACGAUCGGUAGCUGGUCUGAGAGGACGAUCAGCCACACUGGGAUUGAGAACGGCCCAGACUCCUACGGGGGGCAGCAGUGAGGAAUUUCGUCAAUGGGGGCAACCCUGAACGAGCAACGCCGCGUGCAGGAAGAAGGUUUUCGGAUCGUAAACUGCUUUUCUCGGGGAAGAGAACGGACGGUACCCGAGGAAUCAGCCCCGGCUAACUACGCGCCAGCAGCCGCGGU
rnacentral:rRNA from 1 species